ensembl:lncRNA
CACAGCUGUAUGAUUAGUUUAUUUAUCCAGAGAGAAGGCUGGUAUGUGAGUAAAGAAAAAAAAGGUAUAAUGCACCUCCACAUUAAAACAUCUUCCAGGAAAAUAAUUAAAUAACAGCAUUCAAAUGUACCAGACAAGCAGGAGGAAUGAGUACAGUGACGUGUUACAAUGUGCCGAGACCGGAUCUCCCAGCAAAGCGCAGCUUCGACUGUUUCUCCCUCCAGGAAAAAUAAAACGUAACAGGAUGAGGGGGGGUUGCUUAGCAACGUGAUUAAAAAAAAAGAAGUCAGAGGGUUUCGGCGGGCCGAUCACAGUGGAGGAGAAGGAAUGCAUAUGACUGGUUUGGAUCAGAGCGGGAGGCGGGGGGGCGUCAUCAGACCCCCCAAACAAUCGCCUGAGGGGCGGAUGAACACUCGUCACUUCCUGCCGGAUCAACAGUGCAUCACAAGGGGAGAAAAAUACUGGUUUUACACUUUCUCUAAAAUAUAUACAGAGUAAAAUAAGUUAUGUUUCCAUAAGGUCGAUAUGCACGUAGAGUCUCUAAAGAAAGCUACUUAUUUGGUUAAAGCGGAGACCGAUCCUCUCAGAGCAGAUCAAUAAACCGAUAUAUAUAUAUAGAUUUCUCUUUUUACACUCCCUGAAAGGCAGAACGUCUCCCACAGGGCUACAAUGUUAAAUAUCCUAACAUUUUACAACCUAGGAUGUUAGCUCUAAUAAAAAAUACAUUUCUCAAGAAAAUAUUCUCGCAGUGCUUUUUUUUUUUCCUCUUUCAAGCAUGCGUUUGAAAACGUUUUAAACAAGGUGUUUUAUUCUCUCUCCCGUGUUCUGCGUAUGAAUCUUGCCGGCGUGUCAUCACACACACACACACACACGCGCACACACGCACACACGCUCCCCAUGCUCCCAUGACCCCCCCGGCGCCCCCCCCCUCUGGAGGAGGAGCCGUCAGGUUCCAUCCGGCAAAGAAACCCUGAAGCUAAACAGAAGUCAGCGCUUUUCUUCCCAGAAAAAAAAAAAAAACACCACACGACUUUAUUGCAACUGAAUUCUGCAGGUCGGCUUCGUCCGGGAAAAGACGUCAGCCCGAAGCAUUCAUACGCGCAACACAUCUAUAUGCACAUAGAUCUAUAGAUAUGGACAUCUAUAGAUCUAUAGCAUGUAGAUGUAUAAAUAAGGAGUCAGUUAUUCCCACUCAUCCGUUAGCCCUUUAUAGGUGGAGUCUCUCUACAGCUGAGGUGAGGUCUGUGUAGAGCGAUGGGGGGGGGGGGGGGGGGGGUGUCACAGUCCGGUGCUGACCCCGAGGGCCUGGACGGCCUGCGCCCGGCCCAGCGCCUCGCGGAUCUGCAGGUUGAGCUCGGUGAGGCGGGCGCUGGCCGGGCUGAGGUCCCGGCUCGGCCCGACCACGGCGAGGCAGCCCGUCUGGCCCAGCGUCUGGUGGCGGAAGUAGAUGUGCAGGAGGGUCUGCACGGCGUCGUCCGCCUCGCUGCCGAAGAUGUCGCUGGGCCACAGGGACCUGCAGAGGUCGAAUGAGUGGAACACUGAAUUGGGGUCCGACGUGCGGGCGAGGAUUACUUCGGACUUACUGAACUGCCUUUGGUCAGGUGGGCGCUCACCUGAAGACUUUGACCUGGGAGAGGGCGGAGCCAAAGUCUCUGGCUCUCAGCGUCUCGAUGAGGGACUGGAUGGCCGUCUCGGUGUUGGUCUGAGGCGACUCCGUCAUGCACACGUCCUCCGGGCCGUCACUUCCCGUCUCCGCGUCCUUCAGACAGCUCUCGAGGACGGUGAGCUCCUCGGACAUGUUGGUCACCUUAACGCGACGAGAUCGAUGUCAAUGACCGUUACGGCGCACACCAAAUAUUAACCUCAUCGCUCCACGUACAAAAGGUUCAACUCCAUCAGGUACAAAUCGGAUUAAAGCCCCAGCAAGACGGAGCAGCGCGUCUUAAAGGGACAGUACGGCGGAGUCAGUGACGACUUCCCUUCUCAAACAAGCUCUGAAGUUCUGGCCGAGCAGCAGAGACCUGCGUGGAUGCUGGAAGCCGCGUUUUAUUGUUUUACGGCGUUGAUUUGACGCAAUAGCAGCAGCAGCGGCCUGCUCCUGAUUCUGAGAGAGACUCGAGCCGAGAGGACGAGGACUAAAGCGUCUUUGAGUUCAACGUGCGUCAGGAACCAGGUCUCACCUCCGCCUCCCUCUUCAUGGUGUCCACCCUGCUGAUCAGCUUGCAGUAGGCCUGGAAGAGCAGCAGCAGCUGGAAGUGCAGCUUGUAGAGCCGCCGGCACAACUCCAGCUCCUGCAGGCACAAACACAAGGGGGGGGGGGGGUCACGUGAGGGAAGGACUUGAUGAUCCAGUGAGUAGGGGGGGACGGGGGUCCUGGGUUAGAGACGUGGGACGAGAUGAGCGGGUUAAAAUGUGGGGGCCGUCUGGUCGAGUCUACCACUAGUAGGAUUAGUCAUCCCUGGGAGCGAGUGACCCGGAGGUGAUUGCUGGGAGGUCAGAGGUCACACGCUGAUCCAGGAGAACGUGAUUCGAACAGGCUGGAGAUGGAACCAAACAUGCAGAAGGACGGGGGUCUCGAUCCUGACCGGUGACCACGUCUACAGGCACAUGCAGCCUUAAGAGUCCCUGUGGCGAUCUGGUGGAGGUCUAGAGGGGACCAGGACCAGACUGGUUCAUAUCUGGGCUUUGGCCGGUCACGUGACACCGAGUGUCCGUGCAGAGAUGCAGAGGAGGGGGAGUUGUGGGGGGGGGGGGGGGGUGUUGCCAACAGUGCAGGUGUGACAGCGAUGAGAUGGUCAGCGUUUUGUCUAAAUGUCAUUAUGAGUCUAUAACAUGAGAACCACUUACUGCUAGAGUUUCCAUUUGCUAAGCAAAGAAGGACACACACACACACACACAACAAACAAAACAGAAGAAGAGGAAGAUCAAGAAUUAGUGAGCUUUGACAAGACAACAGAGACACGCAGGGGGCGGAGCUUCUAUCGCCUUACCCCUCGACAGGUGAGCUCAAUGCAGGGAGUGUGUGUGUGUGUGUGUGUGUGUGUG